GAAAAUGAAAGACUUGAGAGCUAUGAAAUGCACUUCUGAGAUGAGUCUCAAGACUUCCUUUUUCAUUCACUUCCCUCCAAAAUUCAACUCUCAAAUUAAUACAUACGGAAGUGAGUGUAAUAUUUUAAGGAGGAGAGAUGGUAAGUGUAAUGUUUUAAGGAGGAGAUAUGGUAAGUGUAAUGUUUUAAGGAGGAAAGAUGAUGAAUAUAAUUAAUGUAAUCCUCAAAGGAGGGAACUGGGUUGUUGGUUGUUACAUAACAGACACAAUGUUUGAGGAGAGAAGAAGAUAAGCAAGGCCAUAGGUGAGGG
rnacentral:lncRNA from 1 species